ensembl:snRNA U6 U6 spliceosomal RNA
GUGCUCACUUCGGCAGCACAGAUACUAAAACUGGAACGAAACAGAGAAGAUUAGCAUGGCCCCUGCACAAGGAUGGCACACAAAUUCAUGAAGCAUUCCACAUUUUA